GAUUAACGCUAGCGGCAGGCCCAAUACAUGCAAGUUGUACGGGAUUAUUGGUAGCAAUACCGGUAUGAGAGUAGCGCACGGGUGCGUAACACGUAUGCAACCUACCUUUAACUGGGGAAUAGCUCACCGAAAGGUGAAUUAACACCGCAUAAAAUCACAGAAGGACAUCCCUCAAUGAUUAAAUCUCCGGAGGUUAAAGAUGGGCAUGCGUCCGAUUAGCUAGUUGGCGGGGUAACAGCCCACCAAGGCAACGAUCGGUA
rnacentral:rRNA from 1 species